rnacentral:rRNA from 1 species
UACGAAGGGGGCUAGCGUUGCUCGGAAUCACUGGGCGUAAAGCGCACGUAGGCGGACUCUUAAGUCGGUGGUGAAAUCCUGGAGCUCAACUCCAGAACUGCCUUCGAUACUGGGAGUCUCGAGUUCGGGAGAGGUGAGUGGAACUGCGAGUGUAGAGGUGAAAUUCGUAGAUAUUCGCAAGAACACCAGUGGCGAAGGCGGCUCACUGGCCCGUAACUGACGCUGAGGCACGAAAGCGUGGGGAGCAAACAGG